rnacentral:rRNA from 1 species
AGUGAACGCUGGCGGUAGGCCUAACACAUGCAAGUCGAACGGCAGCACAGUAAGAGCUUGCUCUUACGGGUGGCGAGUGGCGGACGGGUGAGGAAUACAUCGGAAUCUACUUUUUCGUGGGGGAUAACGUAGGGAAACUUACGCUAAUACCGCAUACGACCUACGGGUGAAAGCAGGGGAUCUUCGGACCUUGCGCGAUUGAAUGAGCCGAUGUCGGAUUAGCUAGUUGGCGGGGUAAAGGCCCACCAAGGCGACGAUCCGUAGCUGGUCUGAGAGGAUGAUCAGCCACACUGGAACUGAGACACGGUCCAGACGCCUACGGGAGGCAGCAGUGGGGAAUAUUGGACAAUGGGCGCAAGCCUGAUCCAGCCAUACCGCGUGGGUGAAGAAGGCCUUCGGGUUGUAAAGCCCUUUUGUUGGGAAAGAAAAGCAGCAGGUUAAUACCCCGCUGUUCUGACGGUGCCCAAAGAAUAAGCACCGGCUAACUUCGUG